UAAUGGGUGAUGGCGUGCCUUUUGUAGAAUGAACCGGCGAGUUACGAUUUGAUGCAAGGUUAAGCAGUAAAUGUGGAGCCGUAGCGAAAGCGAGUCUGAAUAGGGCGUUUAGUAUUUGGUCGUAGACCCGAAACCAGGUGAUCUACCCUUGGUCAGGUUGAAGUUCAGGUAACACUGAAUGGAGGACCGAACCGACUUACGUUGAAAAGUGAGCGGAUGAACUGAGGGUAGCGGAGAAAUUCCAAUCGAACCUGGAGAUAGCUGGUUCUCUCCGAAAUAGCUUUAGGGCUAGCCUCAAGUGAUGAUUAUUGGAGGUAGAGCACUGUUUGGACGAGGGGCCCCUCUCGGGUUACCGAAUUCAGACAAACUCCGAAUGCCAAUUAAUUUAACUUGGGAGUCAGAACAUGGGUGAUAAGGUCCGUGUUCGAAAGGGAAACAGCCCAGACCACCAGCUAAGGUCCCAAAAUAUAUGUUAAGUGGAAAAGGAUGUGGCGUUGCCCAGACAACUAGGAUGUUGGCUUAGAAGCAGCCAUCAUUUAAAGAGUGCGUAAUAGCUCACUAGUCGAGUGACACUGCGCCGAAAAUGUACCGGGGCUAAACAUAUUACCGAAGCUGUGGAUUGUCCUUUGGACAAUGGUAGGAGAGCGUUCUAAGGGCGUUGAAGCAUGAUCGUAAGGACAUGUGGAGCGCUUAGAAGUGAGAAUGCCGGUGUGAGUAGCGAAAGACGGGUGAGAAUCCCGUCCACCGAUUGACUAAGGUUUCCAGAGGAAGGCUCGUCCGCUCUGGGUUAGUCGGGUCCUAAGCUGAGGCCGACAGGCGUAGGCGAUGGAUAACAGGUUGAUAUUCCUGUACCACCUAUAAUCGUUUUAAUCGAUGGGGGGACGCAGUAGGAUAGGCGAAGCGUGCGAUUGGAUUG
rnacentral:rRNA from 1 species